CAAGUCGAACGCGAAAGUUCCCUUCGGGGAGCGAGUAGAGUGGCGCACGGGUGAGUAACACGUAGGUAAUCUACCUUUGGAUUGGGAGUAACCACCGGAAACGGUGGCUAAUACCGAAUAAUGCAGCGGCACCUAGUGGUGACAGUUGUUAAAGCGGGGGAUCGAAAGACCUCGCGUCUGAAGAGGAGCCUGCGGCAGAUUAGCUAGUUGGUAAGGUAACGGCUUACCAAGGCUAUGAUCUGUAGCCGGCCUGAGAGGGCGGUCGGCCACACUGACACUGACAUACGGGUCAGACUCCUACGGGAGGCAGCAGUCGGGAAUUUUGGGCAAUGGGCGAAAGCCUGACCCAGCAACGCCGCGUGAAGGAUGAAAUCCUUCGGGAUGUAAACUUCGCAAGAACGGGAAGAAUAAGUAAGAGCUAACAUCUCUUAUGAUGACGGUACUGUUUGUAAGCUCCGGCUAACUCCGUGCCAGCAGCCGCGGUAAUACGGGGGGAGCAAGCGUUGUUCGGAUUUACUGGGCGUAAAGGGCGCGUAGGCGGCCACCGCAAGUCAGUUGUGAAAUCUCUGGGCUUAACCCAGAACGGUCAAUUGAUACUGCGGGGCUAGAGUGCAGAAGGGGCAACUGGAAUUCUCGGUGUAGCGGUGAAAUGCGUAGAUAUCGAGAGGAACACCUGCGGCGAAGGCGGGUUGCUGGGCUGACACUGACGCUGACAGCGCGAAAGCUAGGGGAGCGAACGGGAUUAGAUACCCCGGUAGUCCUAGCCUUAAACGAUGAAUGCUUGGUGUCUGGGGUUUUAUAGUCCCCGGGUGCCGUCGCUAACGCUUUAAGCAUUCCGCCUGGGGAGUACGGUCGCAAGACUGAAACUCAAAGGAAUUGACGGGGAUCC
rnacentral:rRNA from 1 species